GGAACGCACGCGACUUCGGGGUUGUAGAUAUCAGCGGCAGACCAUCUGCAAUAGUAAUAGUGAAUAAAGAGAAGAUGUGAUAUUAAGGUAUUAUAAAGUAAAUGAUGGUCUGGAGUGCCCGAAUAUGCAUAUCCGGUCACGUGACGGACCAGAAACAGGAAGCGGACUUUGAUAAAUAAGUGUUUAAAAUGUUAAUACCAGCGGCAGACCAUCAAUAAUCUUAAUAGAGAGUAUAUAUAAGAUGUUGCACUAAGGUAAACUAUAGUAAGUAAAUGUAGAGAAGGUUUAAAAUCGAUCUAGAACUACAUCCAAUCAGAUCACAUAGAGGGGUUUAUAAGGACCAUAUACCCCAACACACACACCACACAUCUUGAAAAAGGCUCUUGAAGGGCAGAAACGCGUUGGUGACUGAUUGGAGGGACCUUCUACUACCAGAGAGAAUUCAAACAGCCGAGAACCCCUAUCCGCUGACUGUUGCUGAAAAUCCCGGGAAGUGACAUCUCAUGUGUUUUCGGGUGGGCAAUUUGACACCCCACAAAUUCUGGAAAAAACCCAAUGACUAAAGGUCAAAGAGUCCGCCAUUACCACCUUCUCUGGCAGGGAAUUCCAAAUCCUUAUUGCCCUAACUGCGAAGAACCCUUUCCUACGUUGCAUAUGGAAUUUUCUCUCCUCCAGCCUCAGCGAGUGCUAUUCAGAGUUCUUUUAAUAAACAGAUCCUAUGAUAACUCUUGAUAAUGUCUCUUUACAUAUUUGAAGAUAUUAAUAAUGUCUCCUCUUAGACGCCUCUU